rnacentral:rRNA from 1 species
UACGUAGGGGGCAAGCGUUAUCCGGAAUUACUGGGUGUAAAGGGAGCGUAGGCGGACUGUCAAGUCAGCGGUAAAAUUGAGAGGCUCAACCUCUUCCCGCCGUUGAAACUGGUGGUCUUGAGUGGAUGAGAAGUACGCGGAAUGCGUGGUGUAGCGGUGAAAUGCAUAGAUAUCACGCAGAACUCCGAUUGCGAAGGCAGCGUACCGGCAUCCAACUGACGCUGAGGCACGAAAGCGUGGGGAUCAAACAGG